GUUGCUUGCGGCCCCAACCGGAAGCGCGUCGCUUGCCAGUCUCGUAAUUUGCGUAAGAGUCUCGCCUCCUGCUCUUGGGAAAGAAGCGCGGUAGUUGCAUUGGUGCUUUGUCAAUUUGCAGGUUACUACUGGAUGAAUGAGUCACCUGUGUGCUCUGCAAGGACAAGAGGACACAUGGAAUCUCCUGUUGACAUUCUGCUGUAUAAGCACUGAUGAGACUGGAGUGUCCUGUGUUGAUAUAUUUUCUGAAACCAGACUGCUGGUGUUAGAGACUCGUGGUGUACUUUGGUGGCCUAUAAAAAGUUGCGCCUGUUCUCAUUCUUGGAAACCAUAACCUUCUGGAGCCAUGAAAGUUCUUACUAGCUCUUUGUACAGGAAGCUUUUGAGUUUGUUCCCUCAUCUUGGGAAGAGUCCUGCCAAAGGCUCCAAUCUAAAUCCCUGUCACAGACUGCUAAGAAAGUAUUUCUGUUAUAAGGCAGGUGUGGUUACAGCUGCUGACUUGGUCAACUACUGGCAAGGCGUGUUUGAAGUGAAUGAGAUCCCCGAAGCACAGGCAUCUUCCGAAUAUAUAGUUUCUCAUGUCCUGGGAGCAAAAACAUUCCAGAGCUUGAAUGCCAGCAGCAUCUCUACUCCCCUCUCCGCAAAGCAACAAGAACAGAUCCAGCAGCUAUGUGCAAAACGGCUACAAAGGAUGCCAGUGCAAUAUGUUCUGGGUGAGUGGGAUUUCCAGGAUCUGACAUUCAAGAUGAAACCUCCGGUCUUCAUUCCUCGACCAGAGACAGAGGAACUGGUCUCCCUUAUUGUGGAUGAAGAAUGCAGGAAGCGAUCGACCUCAGCAAACUGCAAGCAUCCCCAGCUGUCUCCAGAGAACAGUGGGCUUGUGAUCCUGGAGGUUGGCUGUGGCUCAGGGGCGAUUGCUCUGAGUCUCCUGAAGAAGCUGCCUCAUAGCAGAGUCAUUGCCACAGAUAAAUCACAAGCUGCUGUGAAUCUCGCCAGGGAAAAUGCAGCAAGGUUACAUCUGCAGGACAGGGUAAAGAUCCUUCACCAUGAUGUGUCUUCAAGUUCUUGGGAAUGCCUACUGCCCUGGGGUUUGAUAGAUACUAUAAUCAGUAAUCCACCAUACAUUUUCCAUGAAGACAUGACUCAGUUGGCGGCAGAAAUCCUCAGAUAUGAGGAUCUUGGUGCACUGGAUGGAGGAAAGGAUGGGAUGAGUGUAAUAAAACAGAUUCUGAAAUUGGCUUCAUACGUCCUCAAGGAUGGCAGGAGUGUGUUUCUAGAAGUUGACCCCAGGCACCCAGAGAUGGUGGAGAACUGGCUGUGCAGUCACCCCGACUUGCUCCUCUUUGUGUCUGCCACCCAUAAUGACUUUUGUGGAAAGCCAAGGUUCCUGCAUAUCCAGAAAAAUGGGGGAGAAAACAACAGAAGAUACUGAAUGAGUUCUGUCAUCCCAGCACAGCUGCCUUUAGUGUUAGUCAACACAGAAAAGAAUCCUUCUGUUAGACCUCAGUGCUGCAAUAGGGAUGGGAGUUUGGAACCUGUACCAGUGAACUCUGACGGUAUAUUCUCAAACAGCCAGUAAGAACACUCCAUGCUGGUGGACACUUCAUUCAGCAGUGAGAAGACCACAGCAGGAAAAUGCAAGUCACUGCAUCUCACAAUACUGAGAAUGUCUACACACAAUACUGAGAAUGUCUACAUCCUUUUCCGAUAUAGUGGUACCUCGGUUCUCGAACGUAAUCCAUUCCAGAAGACCGUUUGGCUUCUGAAUUGUUCGAAAACAGAAGCACAAAGGGCUGGUUGCAAGUUCAACUGGAAAAACUGAAAAACAUGCAGCAGAAGCCAUUCGAUUUCUGAGGCACGUUCGAAAAUGGAAGCAAUUACUUCCAGGUUUUCGGUGUUCGAAAACUGAAACGUUUGGCUUCCGAGACGCUCGAAAACAGAGGUACCUCCUGCUUAUAUGAAUCAUAUAAACAAACACAAACAAGGCAUGCAUUGCAGUUGGAAUACAAGCACCAACAAACCUUGUCAGUCAUGUCACAGGCUUUAGGGGCCUUUUAGCUUUUUUUAUGCUGCAUACGAUAAAAUACGUCUACAAAAAUUAUAUUUCUACCUUAAAUCGCUCUCUUCCCCUUCCUUAGGGAAAAGUGUCUAAUUUCAUUCUUGCAGCAAUCCUGUGAAGUAAGUUAGGUUAAGAGUUGGGAAGUGACCAGAUAAUAUCCAGUGGGCUUUAUGGUCAACUAAGGAUUUGAAUCCAUGUCUGUCCUGCCAGCUACCAUAUACGGCGCUCAUCUUGCUUUCAAGCCGAGGGAGCCAGCGUUUGUCCACAGACAGUUUUCCGGGUCAUGUGGCCAGCAUGACUAAACCACUACUGGUGCAUGGAGGACUGUGACAAGUGCCAGAGUGCACAGAAACGCCAUUUACCUUCCCACCACAGCGGUACCUGUUUUUCUACUUGCACUGGUAUGCUUUCAAACUGCUAGGUUGGCAGAAGCUGCUGGUGGUAGUCUACUUGCAAUGUCUGUCUCUAAGGCAUUGCAUCAGUCUUUACUAUUCAAAACUGUUACAUAGACUGGUAUUGUCUGAUACUAGCCUGUUGUCUAGAGAUGUUGCUACACAUUAAUUUUAGUUUUGGGGAAUCCUUGCUUCAGCCGUCACAUUACAAGCUGUCACAGAGAGAGUGGGGAGAGAGAGAUUAGGGUGUGUGAAUAGGGUCUGUAUGUGGCUUUGGCCUUACUUCCCUUUGGCAUUGGCCCCACCUACCACUGCCCUAUGGUUUGUGGAAGGUUGUCUACAAAGACAUGUGGUCCUCAGGUUGAAAAGGUUUCCAAAAGGGGAAUCCUGGCAGUGAUGUGGUGCAGACUAUGAUGGUGUAGCCCAGUGACCAACUGAAGCCAAGACCUUACGAAUGCAAAGUGUGUGUUUAUCACUAAGUUACAAUGGUCUCUUGUCAAUAGAGCCCAAACAACUACAACCAACAUUGGGUAGAUGGUGGAUGUUGGUCAAGCUUUCAGAGCCUAUUUUAUCGUCUGAUCCACUUGUUCACCCAAUAUUCACCCCAGUUCUCUCACACGCUCACACAUUCUACCCGAAGCCAGUGUUGACCUUGUGGCGAAACCAUUUUAUGGUAUGAGAUAUUCUGUUUGUUAUUUCCUCUGAUACAGCACAUCACCACAGAGCAUCAUUAAAUAAAAGCUAGUUUAGCAAAUCAAUAAUUAAACAGAAAGUGUUUUGGCAGCAGAAUAAUUAAAAACAGAAAAUAUUUGUGGAAAGGAGUGCCAUGUUCUCCCCGUUCCGUCCUCCCCAUAGCUGUGCACAGCCGUGUGGCAGCAUAUGUCUGUGAAACGGACUGGAUGAUGCAUCAGGAAAGGCAGCAGCUAUCACUGAAGAGAGCAAAAGGUCAGCAGCCAAGCAUAAAUGAGGAACCGAGAAAGCCCCAGCCCAGCAGUGUGUGAGAGAAAGAAGUGGGAGUCUAGGAAGAACUCAUGAUAUUUAAACUUAGAAAAUGUUGCGUAAUCUGAGAUGCUGAGUAUUGUAUUGCUUUGUAUUUAUAAUAAUAAUAGCCCUCCAAGCAGCUCAAGGUGGCAUAAUGGUUAUGCCCCUCCCCAUUACACCCUCACAUUCAAUCCUGUGGGGUACAUUAGGCUGAGAGGUGAUGACUGGCACCAAAACACCCAAUGAACAUCAUGAUUAAGUGUGGAUCUGAACCCUCCUCUCUCAGGUCAACCAAUCAGUUGAUGCUUUGUUAUAUAGGCCUACCAGAAAUCCCAGUUUUAUGUCCAGUUAAUGGCAGCCAUUUUGUGACAUUCUCUCAAAAAUCCAAAUGUGCCCCUGGGCCCAAAAAGGUUGGCAUCCAUUGUUCUAUACGUCCAAAUAGCCUGAUAUAUUUGUAAUUGGCAGAAAAGAGUGAUCUGCCUGUUAGCAUGUUGACUGAUUGGUUCACACCAGUGCCUGACUGAGUGUUCUGCAAAUGUUGCAGUUGCUAUGUGCAACUUAAACAGUUAUUCAGUAUGCAGUAUACUCCACUGUGCUAGGCUCCAGUAGCACUGGGCUUUGGAGAGAGCGGAUUCUUGCAAGAAGUACAGAACAGGCAUGCAGCCUUUCUCAGACUCCUCUCUAUUUGUUUCUUAGACAUGCGUAAUUGUGGAACUAGAACUGUUUGCCCCAGCAGUAGCAAUAUGUCUGUUGCUUUCAUCUUGACUUUUGGGAGCCCUUCCUCGCUGGCUUUCAGUUGAAUGCAAGAUAACGGAAAUUUUUAUUUAUUUAUUUAUCUAUUUUAAUAAAUUUAUACACUGCCCUUCAUCAAAAGAUCUCACAAGAUAAAAAAAUACAAGAGAAAACAGACAAAUAAACAGUUAAAAACAACAAAACAAUAGCCCCCCUUCCACAAACACAUUUAAAAGGCUGUAUAAUAUCAAUCAGCCAAAGCUUCCAUCUCCCAUGCAGAUGCAAGAGUGAGAGCUCUUGAGCAACAGAACCUUUUUCUCUCUACAACCUUAAGCAACCCCUGUUUACACAACAGCCAACGUUUCUGAGAAUAGAAACAAAUCUGCUUGGAAAUAUAAUUCAGCCCGCAAAGGCUGAAAGAAGCAGGGGAUCUAUGCCAGUCGGUGUUUGGGGGAAGAUUGUGGCCCUGCAGAAAAGGACAGCAUAUUCUAAAGAAAAAAACAAUGGUCCAGGUUCCAGCACCCAGGAUAAUCUGCUUUUUUUGUGGAAGGGGUGCUAUGUGGGGCAGCUCUCAUUAAAGGGAAAUCCUCUGUAUGGAAAGUUUGAAUCAAUGCAUAGGAAUAUUAGGAAGCAGAUUCGCUGGGUGAAGCCAGUGAUGAGCUGUAUGGCACAUACAGUACAUGUCAGUACCAGACAAUACAUGUACCUGGGCUGUGGGGCUGGCACAUCAAUUCCACUGGUACCGACUUUUCAGCAGCCCUAGCCAUGAAUAAUGUUUUGGUGAGAGCUGGCUUAGCCUUUAACCCUUGUUUGUUGUCUUAUUCUUUGUAAUGAGGAGGUAUGAUAGUUGAUGUUUGAAAUGAGGGUGUGUGGGACCAGUAGGUGGGGGUUUUAUUUUGUUUGUUUUUUCCAUAAUUAUAGCCACAAAUAGGCAACAGCCUAGGCACAAGUCACACAUACCGUGACCAGGUGCAAUGGGCAUUUUAAGGUGGCUGGAAGUUGCCACAUCUGCCAUCACCUUGUGUGUCCUUUUGCGUGCAGAUCGUUUCCUCUGGACUACUCCCUCCCCUACCUAGUGAUCUGGGGUGGGAAGAAGUUGACACAUCCCAGGAAAGGCACAGCAUCUGCAGAGGCCUCUAAGCCACACACCACCAUUUAUGUCAUCUACGAUGUGCAGGGGCUGGUAUGUAAUUAACCUGGCUGGUCUAGAUUAUAUCACGGACAUCUGGAUAAUGGCACACUUUUGAUGAUUUGCCUCUGAGGUGCUGCUGCCGGAUGCCGUCUAUGUUGCAAUUUUUAAGCAUCGUUCUUAUUUCACUGAGGUACUGUUUUACGAAGUGGUGUUACUUGCUUCAAUGGGAUAUAAAUAUUUUAAACAAAUAA